GCUCUCACUUUCCAGAUUUUUGGUUGGUAACGAGGGAAAAAUGGUGAUGAAAAUGAUGAAAAGCUGGGGAUUGAGUGGGGUGCGUUAUGCUGUGCCUUUCACUGUAACCUCCAAAGGAUCUGUACCAUUUCUUCUGCGUGGGUAAUCGUUCUGUCUAUAAUUACAUCAAAGUUUUCUCCCUUUUUUUUUUCCCUUCAAAAAUAAAAAAUUAGUGUUUUUGGUUGGUGCUGGAAAUUGGUUUGAGUUAUCAAGGUGGUUCAGACUCAUCAAUGAAAAAUAUGAAAGAGUUUGAUAUGUAUAAAAGAAUAUUGCAGCUGUCAUUCUUUCUUCCUUUGGUGAAAUUACACACUGUUUUUGUUCCUUUACAUUGAAUGUUUUCUUUCCCUAUAGUUUUAAUUCAAUAAAACAUUUUGGUAAUAAUAGAUAGCUGUCUGCGUUUGCAUAUUUGGUGGUUUUUGUUAGGAAAUUGAGGUAUAAAUUUUACAAUUGCAGCUAAAGUGGAAAUGAGAAAAUGAAAAGUUUGUUCGUAAAAUAUUCAAAUAAAAUACAUAUAAAAUAAUUGACAAAAGAAUAAAAUAAUUUCUGUCUAAAAUAAAGAGAGCACAAUUGACAAUACACUCUCUCUUAUAAUAGGAGAAAAAUACAUACUCUCUCUAAUAAAAGAAAGACAUAAAUAUUUAGGAGAAAUUCUUUUUGAAUUUUCUCUCUAAUACUCUCCUUCUUUCUCUUUGUUUCUAUGUGUAUUUCUCACACUAAAGAUGGAUAUCACUCUUUACAAGGAAGAGAAAGACAUAUAUAUAGAGGCAUAUGGCGGUAGAGAGAGGCAGUAGAGGUUGUAAAAUUCAAAUUGAACUCCUUUGCUAGCUGUAGCCGUGCCACCUAUAUGUGCAAGUUGUCCACAAAGCUAGAAAUCUCUACAUUCUUCUUCCACCUCUUUUAACUAAGUUAAAAUCUUAAUUAAGAAGCAAUCUUUAACCUCCUUUGACUAAGUCACCAUCUUAAUUAAUAAGCAAUAGCCAAAAGUGACUUUAUGUGCCGCCACAUAUCUUCAUCAGUGGUUUUAGAUCAAUUGCGAUUGAUGGUGACCGAUUGAUCACAUAACAGGUGGUCUUAACUGCUUUUGCCCAAGAUGACUUGGCCAUUCGUACAAUGCUCAACAUCGCUUUUAUCCGUUCCAAUAAGGUUCUGUUCAUCUGCUCUGCUACUCUAUUUAGUUGUGGAGUGUAUGCCAUUGUAAACUACCUUUUGAUACUUUCUUAUUGACAGAAGCUAUCAAAUUCUUCACCAGUAUAUUCUUCUCCAAUAUGAACCUAUCUCAAGAAGAUCUGUGUUCAUGGGAGAUGAUCAUGCCUUGGAGAUCGCUGGUAUUGGUACCGUCAAAUUGAAGAUGUAUGAUGGUACGGUUCGCACCAUUCAGAAGGUAAGGCAUGUGAAAGGCCUAAAGAAAAAUCUAUUGUGUAAAAGAGCUCGGCUUAUAGGCAUCUUCUAUAAUGGCGACAAAGUACGAAAUAAAAAAAUCAAUGAAAAAAAGACUACAAAAGAAAUAUGGGACACUCCUGAAGAAAAUCUAUUGUCUUUGGGACAAUUAGAUAAUAGUAGUGCAAAACUCAUAUUCAAGAUGAGAUCAUGAAAAUAAUUAAAGUCGCACUUGUGGUGAUGAAAGCAGAAAAGAUAGCUGUCAAUCUGUACAUGCUUAAAGGAGAAACACAACAAGAAGGAGAAGCAUCUACAACAUUAGCAAGCUCUCCAAAAGAAUCAACGCUGAUGUGGCAUUGUAAGCUUGGCCACAUGUCGGAAUGAGAUUUGAAGAUUCUUGCUGAACAAAAGCUUCUUCCAAGGCUCAAAAAGGUUUCAUUACCAUUUUGUGAGCAUUGUGUUAUUAGUAAGCAGCAUAGAUUAAAGUUUAGCAGCUCAAAUGCUAAAAACAAAGCUAUCGUAGAGUUGAUCUACUUCGAUGUUUGGCAAGCAUCAGUUUUGUUCCCACGAGGUGCAAGAUACUUUAUAUAUUUUAAAUGGUUACUCUAGGAGAUGUUGGGUGUAUCCAAUCAAAAGGAAAACUGAUAUAUUUCCAGUUUUCAAAAUAUUCAAAGCGCGGGUGGAAUUUGAAUCUGAAAAGAAGAUCAAGUGUUUAAGAGAUAGAUAAUGGACAAGAAUAUACUAGUGAAGAAUUUGAUAGCUUCUAUCAAUAGGAAGAUAUCAAGAGGUAGUUUAUAAUGGCGUACACUCCACAACAAAAUGAAGUAGUAGAGCGGAUGAACAGAACCUUGUUGGAACAGAUAAGAGAGAUAUUUAGAACUAUAGGAAUGGUCAAGUCAUUUUGGGCAGAAGCAGUUAAGACUGCCUGUUGUGUGAUCAAUCGGUCACCAUCAACCGUAAUUGAUCUAAAAACGCCGAUGGUGAUAUGUGGCGGCACGUAAAGCCACCUUUGGCUAUUGCUUAUUAAUUAAGAUGGUGACUUAGUCAAAGGAGGUGAAAGAUUACUUCUUAAUUAAGAUUUUGACUUAGUCAAAGAAGGUGGACGAAGAAUGUAGAGAUUUCUAGCUUUGUGGACAACCUGCACAUGUAGGUGGCACGGCUACAGCUAGCAAAGUAGUUCCUUGAUGAUGAUAAGUGGAACGAGAUAGCAAUGACCAAGUAGAGCGUUAUCAUGCUAGAUUGGUUGUGAAAGGAUUUGCUCAUAAAGAAGGUAUUGAUUUCAAUGAGAUAUUUUCUCCUGUUGUUCAACUUAAACAGUUCGUGUGGUCCUGGCAAUGUGUGCUACAUUUGACUUAUAUUUAGAGCAGUUGUAUGUCAAAACUGCAUUUUUUCAUGGAAAACUUGAAGAAGAGAUUUAUAUGCUCCAACCAGAAGGUUUUGAAGAAAAAGGAAAAGAGAACUUGGUUUGCAGGUUGAACAAAUCUCUAUAUGGUCUCAAACAAGCGCCGAGAUGUUGGCCCCAACAAAGAUCGCAUUAAAGAUUUGAAGGCAGAAUUGGCUAGGGAGUUUGAAAUGAAAGACUUGGGACCGACAAACAAGAUUCUAGGGAUGCAAAUCAACCAAGACAGAAUAAUAAGAAGUUAUGGCUUUCUUAGAAAAAUUACGUGAAGAAAAUUUUGCAGCGUUUCAACAUGCAAAAUUGUAAGCCAAUUCUUAUCCCUCUUUGUAUUAAUUUCAAGUUAUCCUCAAGUAUGAAUCCUAGCAAUGAGAAAGAGAGGAUGGAAAUGUCUCGAGUAUCGUAUAGGUAGUUUAAUGUUCGCCAUGGUAUUCACAAGACCAGACAUUACACAAGCAGUAGGAGCAGUUAGUCGGUACAUGGCGAAUCCUGGUAGAGAGCAUUGGAAUGCUAUGAGGAGGAUCAGACUUUAGAUCUUCCCUUGGGCUAGCAGAAACAUGAGCAGCAUGGGAAUAAAAUGGCAAGUAGAAAAGAUAGAAGGGUUAUAGCAAAAGUGACUUUAAGUGGGAGAUAUAUGGCGGUUCCACUUUUGCUUCUUAAUGAAGUAUUGGACCGAUCAAAGGAGGUGGAAAGGUAGCAAGAUAGAGGACAAAUUCAAUUUGAACUCUACUACCUUAAAAGAAUUCAACUUCAAGUUGAAUUCCAUCAAAGGAGAAAUUCAAUUUCAAGUUAAACUCCACUUAAGGAGAAUUCAAUUUCUAUUUGAAUUCCUCUACCCAUAUGCAUCUAUAAAUAUGCACAUCCCCUUAAUUUGAAAAUCAUCCCAUUUUGAAGAAGGGCUCAAUUCAUUCUUAUGUAGAAGCCAAAUCCAUUCUUAGUGUGAGAAACAUGGAAACAAAGAGAGAGAAGGAGAAUAUUAGAGAGAGAGAGAGUUAGAAAUGGUUUUUCCUAAAUAUUUGUGUCUUUCCUUUAUAUUACAUUUCUUGGCAUGAGAAGCAAAGAGAGAGUAGGAGAAUAUUAGAGAGAUAAUGAAGAAAAGGCUUCUCCUAAAUAUUCAUGUCUUUCGUUUGUGAGAAACAGAUAGAGAGAAGGAGAGUAUUAGAGAGAGAAAAAGAGUCUUUCCUAAAUACUUGUGUCUUUCCUCUGUAGAGAGAGUGUGUUUUCUUCUAUUAUAAGAGAGAGGGCUGAUAUAGGUAUAUCAUAAUUUUCAUCAAUGACUUUUGAGACUAAAAUCAACCUUCUCAAGCUUGAACACUCUGCAGUUAGUAUUCAGAGAAAGAAGUAGCCAUUAGUUAUGUUGAUGGAGUGGUGAUUCAGAAGCUUUAGAUCCAUAAGAGAGUGAAAAAAACUUCUAGAAGAUGCAAGAUCAGACCUGAGACAUAUUAAAACUUGAGCAAGGAAGGGGAGGGGGAUGUGUGGACCAAAAUACUUCUAGAAGAUGGAAGUCGUACACCUGACAACACCAUGGCAGAUUUUGAUCCAUCUUAUGUGAAACAACAAGAUGAUUCUCCAAUUCAUUGAUGUAAUUUGAUUGUAUGGCAGAUAUUAUUAGUAAUAAAGGAUCAGAUUUUUUGGGUUUGGGAAGAAGAGACGACCGGGAUUGGCAUCUCUUCUUCUCUCUGUUGUGGCGACUACCGACGAGCAACUCCUCCAGUCACCCGCCAUCUCUUCGACGAUCGACGGUUAGGUGGUUGACUGAAACCCUAGCUCUAUCACCUUUACACUCUGCGGUGGGCCAGUGGCUAUGAAACCAUCAACAACCUUGAUUACCAUCAUCUAGUCAUCAACCAUCAUGUUAUUUCUUAGAAAUUUGACUAUUCCAGUUGACGGAUUCAAGAGGUGAAGGUGAGGUAGCUUCGUGGCUCGUGGGAGGCUGUGUCGUGCUCGUGUGUGGCACUGGCUCUGUGCUUAAAGCUUAAGGUAAGGUGUUCUGUUCUCUCAAACUCUCAAUGGUUGUGGAUGGAUAGAUUGUAGUUGGAGUUGAGUUGACUUUCAUAAUUUAGACUCUCUGUGAUUGUGACUCUGAAUUUGACUCAAAAUUUAGAAAUUAAUUGUUUUUGUGAAAUGUUGAAUUGGUUAUAAAAUAAUUUUAUUACGACAGUUCAUAUGGUUUUAGUGUGAAAUUUCAUAUGGAUUUGAAAUGCUAAAUUGUAUUUGUGAAUUGUCUUUGAAACUCUAUUUUUAUGAAAUUUUGAAUUCAAAUUCGUGAGAUUGCUUGCAUUUAGAGUCUUUGUAACUCCAAAAUUUCUAAAAUUUCAAUUUUAAGAAGGUUAGCUUACAUUUCAGAGUCUUUGUGACUUUGAAUUCCUAAAAUUGCAAUUUUCAACAGGUUAGCUUACAUUUCAAAGUCUUUGUGACUUUGAAAUUUGAAGUUGUUGUUUAAUUUGUAAUGUUUGUGGAAUUGUUGAAUACUGUGCAAUUUUUAAAUAUUGUGGAAUAUUAUGGAAUUGAAACUGUUUAAACAAGGUUUUUGCAUGUUUGUAGUUGGAGUUGUAUAAUUUUAAGUAUGUUAGUUUACAUUUCAGAGUCUUUGUGACUUUGAAGUUUGAAAUUGCUAUUUAAUUUGUAAUGUUUGUGGAAUUGUUGAAUAUUGUGCAAUUUCUUAAUAUUGUGGAAUAUUAUGGAGUUGAAGUUGAAAUUGAAACUGUUUAAACAAGGUUUUGCAUGUUUGUUGUUGGAGUUGUGCAAUUUUAAACAUGUUAGCUUACAUUUCAGAGUUUUUGUGACUCUGAAAUUUAAAAUUGCUGUUGAAUAUGUAAUGUUUGUGGAAUUGUUGAAUAUUGUGGAAUGGAAUUGAAGUUGAAAUUGGGACUGUUUAAACAAUGUUUUUGCAUGCUAGUAGUUCAAAUUGUGCAAUUUUUUUUAGAGAACCAGGCAGUUAGUUAUGUUUCAAUAUUAUAUCAUACAGCAGCUGAUUGGUUUUAAUUGUUAAGCAUUAUUGAGUACUAAGAGUAGCAUUAUUGAGUACUAGGAGUCUGAGUGAUAGCAAUUUUUUCAAAGCUUUAAAAUCGUCUUUCUUUUAUUUUAGUUCAUUGCAUUGUAACCAGUACAUGUCUUGCCUUGAAGUGUUGUGUAAUUGCUGUCUUAUUUUUGUUUGUUUCCUCUUAUGUAAGCAGUGUCUUAUAUAUGCUUGAUAUGGACCCAGAUGCCCAAUCAUCAGUUAAUGCACUUUCUUCUCAAACCCCAAUAGGCCAAAGUCCAUCACCACCAGGUCCACCACCACUGUCAAAACUUACAUCGUCUGAUGCCAAAUCGACAUUACCUCCAUGACCUUCAUUAGGGAAAAAAAAAAAAAAAAAACCUUCUAGGCUAGCAAGUGAUGUAUGGGAUCACUUUGUCAAAAUAGAAGAUAGUGAUCUUGAUAACCCUAGAUGUGAAUGCAUAUAUUGUCAUAAGGAUUAUGCAUGUGGUUCUAAGAAGUGUGGAACUAAUACCCUAAGGAACCAUUUGAAGCAAUGUCUAAAAAAUCCUUAUAAAGUAGAUGAAAAGAAGUAAAAGACCUUAACUUUUGAUAGGAAGUCCGACGGUAAUGGUAGCAGUUUGGUAGCUACAGUUUUCAGCAAAGAGGCAUGUAGGAUGGCAUGUGCCAAAAUGAUAAUAUUGGAUGAGUUGCCUUUUAGUUUUGUACAAGACCGUGGGUUUAGACACUUUUGUAGUAUUGCAUGUCCUAAGUUUGAUCCUCUAUCUAGAAGAACCAUCAUGAGGGACAUUUAUCAAUUGUACUUGGAUGAGAAGUUGGCUUUAAGAUCAAUGUUUGUUGCAAAGAAAUAAAGAGUUAGCCUUACAACUGAUACAUGGACUUCUAUUCAAAAUGUUUGUUAUAUGUCAUUGAUUGCUCAUUAUAUUGAUGAUGAGUGGAUGUUACAUAAAAGAAUUUUAAGUUUUUGUGUGGCUCCUAAUCAUAAAGGAGAGGCAAUUGGAAAGCUAAUUGAGGUUUGUUUGCAUGAUUGGGGUAUUGAGAAAGUGUUCAUAAUAACCCUUGAUAAUGCAAGUGCAAACAAUAAUGUAAGUGCUUAUCUUAAGAGGAAAAUGGUACAUUGGAAAAGUUGUGUAUUGGAUGCUAAUUUUUUGCAUAUUCGAUGUAGUGCACACAUUGUCAAUUUGAUUGUGUGUGAGGGUUUGAAAGAAUUAGAUGACUCAAUUGCUAGCAUUCGUAAUGCUGUCAGAUAUGUUAGAUCCUUUCCUUCUAGAUUGCAAAAAUUUAAAGAGUGUAUAAGUUAAGAGAAAAUUGAUAGCAAAGCUUUAGUAUGUUUGGAUGUUCCAACAAGAUGAAACUCCACAUAUUUAAUGUUAGAGUCGGUUUUGAAAUUUCAAAAAGCCUUUGAGAGAAUGGAAGAGGAAGAUGGACAUUAUGCUUCCUAUUUUGGAGAGGAUGAUAGUGGUAGAAAGAAGGUUGAACCUCCUUUUGUUUGGCAUUGGGAUGAUACCAAAGUUUUUGUCCAAUUUCUUAAGGGCUUUUAUGAUGUGACUCUUCAAUUUAGCGCCUCUCUGCAUGUUACCUCCAAUAUUUAUUUCCAUCAGAUUUCUUCCAUACAAAAACAAUUGGAUGACUUGUAUGUUAGUGAGGAUGACCGGUUGUGUGUUAUGGCAAGGAAAAUGAGAAAAAAUAUAAUAAAUAUUGGGGUUCCAUGGGAAAUGUCAAUAAAUUGCUUCUAAUUGCAGCAGUGCUUGAUCCAAGAUAUAAGUUGGAUUAUGUGUCAUUUAGCUAUAGGAUGCUUUAUGAUAAUGAUGAAAGUAUGGUUACUGAAUUGACAAAUAGUUUGAAAAAGGCUUUAAUGAGGCUGUAUAAUUGGUAUAAUGAAAGAGAAAUGGGUUCAGAUACUAGUUGCUAAUCUUCCAUUGGUGUUGAGUCUUGUGGAACUAGUUUGGAUUGUAAUAGCAGUGGAUUAGAACAGGCCAACUAUGCUGACCGGGUUUGGAUUGCUUAUUUGAAAAAGAGAGAACAAAGCCAAUAUAAGGAGGUAAAAUAUGAUGUGGAUAUGUAUCUGGCCGACCCUUGUGAAUCUGGUUUAAAUAAGGAUUUUGAUAUUUUAAAUUGGUGGAGGGUCAAUGGAGAGAAAUACCCUGUGUUAGAGAAGGUUGCAAAGGAUGUAUACACCAUUCAAGUCUCCACUGUGGUUUCUAAGAGUGCAUUUAGCACUGUAAGCAGGAUACUUGAUCCUUUUAGGAGCUCUUUGACUGCUAAAAUGGUGGAGGCUUUGAUAUGUUGUCAAAAUUGGCUUAAUGCUUCUCCAAGUUUGAACAGAUUCUUUUUAGAAGAAAUGGAGUAUUAUGAAAGCCUAGAUGCAGACCUAUGCCAAAGCCAACCAGUGGCAACAACUCCAGACAGCAGCACCAAAAAGGAUCGAUUAUGCAUUGUGGAAUGAAUGGACUUGAAACUUGAUAGCAGCACCAAAGCUUUGUAGCAGUGGCAGUGGAGACUUUGGCAAUGACAAUAGAAGAGUGGCUUUGGAUUUUUAGAGGAUUUGGCAGUAGCAGUAGGAGAAGAGCAGUGGCUGUUGGAAUGGCAAUGGCAGUGGCACUUUGGAAUUAUAAUUUGUUAUUUUGAUAUUUGUGUUUUGUGUCUGCAUUUCUCAUUCUCAAUUUUGGCCGUGGCAUUGGUAGUGGCACUGCAUUUCUCAAUCUUCAAUUUUUCCUUUCAUAUAUGUUUAAUUCUUGAUCAAUUUAUAUUUGUAUUAUUAAACAUUAGUAUUUUCAAUUUGUAUAUGUGUUGAAACUUGUAAGCUUCUAAUAUUUAGUUAAUUACUUAUAUUUGAUGUAGUAGCAAAUGUAAAAACAAUAUAGAAAUGCAAUUUUGUAUGUUUGUUUAAGAACUAUAA